rnacentral:rRNA from 1 species
CUUAAAACCCAAAGGACUUGACGGUGUCCUAUCCACCUAGAGGAGCCUGUUCUAUAAUCGAUACUCCACGCUACACCCCACCAUUUCUUGUUGAUCAGCCUGUAUACCUCCGUCGUAAGCUUACCAUAUGAAUGACCUGCAGUAAGCUCAACUAGGUCCUUCCACCAAUACGUCAGGUCAAGGUGCAGCUUAUGAAAUGGAAAGCAAUGGGCUACAAUUUCUAACUUAGAACAUACCAAACGCUGCAUGAAACACAGCUACAAAGGCGGAUUUAGUAGUAAAAAGAAAAUAGCAUGUUCUUUUUAAUCCGGCACUAG